rnacentral:rRNA from 1 species
GGAUCAAUGUUUCGGUCAUGCCGUUGGUAUGUACUGAUAUUAUUGAUUUCUCACCUUCUAAAGAACCGUAAUGCCAUUAAUUUGGUGUGUUGGGGAACCAGGACUUUUACCUUGAGAAAAUUAGAGUGUUCAAAGCAGGCAUUUGCCCGAAUACAUUAGCAUGGCAUAAUAAAAUAGGACGUGCGGUUCUAUUUUGUUGGUUUCUAGAGUCGCCGUA